rnacentral:lncRNA from 1 species
AGAGAGAGAGGGAGGGAGAGAGGAGGGUCGGGUUUGGUGUGGAGUCGACUGUGUGUGAAGCUGAAGUUACACCGCAGGUUUUAUUUGAUGUGCAGGACGUGGUUACACUUAAAUGGCUUAAAACAAUCCCGGCUAUUUAUACCUGUGGAGACUUUCGACGCUUGAGCGCGUACAGAAUUUGAAAGAAACAGUGUUGACGCCAGAGAUGCAUUUCUGUGUCAUUUUUAUCUUGAUGUUGUGCCGUUUGUCACGGGCUGUUCCUGUCCCUGUAGACACCAUUAUUGUCCAGAUCCAAUGGGGAGUGGUUGGAAAUCAGCGGCUAGUUGAGCAGGUUCUCCUCAAUGGAGCUGCUCUGUCCAGCACCAGCCAGGAAGUCAGCAGCAUCAUCCAAACCAUGUCAGCUGACACGGUCCUCCCAGCUCUUAUCAGCGUCAACCACACUUCACCACUGAGAAACCACACCAUUCUCCAUUCUCGAGAAUGCAUUUUGGAGGGCUCUCAGCUGCACUGGGCUGACCGUGUGUUUUACGAUGGCGAGGUGUAUCUCACUCUGGACCAUGAUGAGGUGUGGACGGCCCACGUACCGCAGGCACUGACCCUCAAAGGGCUGUUGACGGACCAGGAAGCACAGCGCAAACAAGCAGAGAGGAUCCGUCUGCAGGAGGGGUGCAUGAAGCUGAUGAGAGAGCUGAGGCUUUCAGAGGAGCCAUCAAGUAUAUCAUCAGUUGCAGAGAUUCCUUUGCCUCAGCUUGUGAUCCCAAUCUUGGCCCUUCUGACGUUUACCGGACUCAUUUUAGUCAGCCUCCUCCUCUCCAAAAACCAUGGUAUGAGGCACCCUGGAGGUGUUAUUGGCUCAAUCAUACAUUAUCCCAAAGAUAUGAGUGAAGUGCCUCCAGAGACAAAAGGCUGUGGAUACCGUACGUUAUAAUUCAGACUGGCUGAUCUGUCGGACCUCUCUCUACCGUUGAACGUACACUUUGUCCUCCUGUUGCUCCAUGAAUGUAACCAAACCAACCGUCUCCUGGGAUCAACCAAUCACAAUACCUAAAUGCACUUUAAACAUGCAUGUAUCACACUGUACACUAGCAUUUUUAUUGCAAAUACAUUGAAUAUUUAAGCUCAUUCAGUAAUGUAUAAGCUUAUGUUUGCACAUGUUAAUACCUCUAAUGGCAGAUGUAUGAAGGUAAAUGUAAAUGUACAAUAUACAAGUUAUGACAAAAAUAUUUUGAAGUCUGUAGAUAAAUUCCUGCUGAAACAUUCUGUAUAUUAAUAUUUGCAUUUUUUUCUGUAUGUGACAUUUAAAGAUUGUUGCUCCAUUAAAAAUAUUUUAUGCCAAUAC